CCAGAUGUGGAAGCCCUGUAAGGGGUGGAGCUGACUGGUACUAAUAGGCCGAGGGCUUGUCCUCAGUUG
rnacentral:rRNA from 1 species